rnacentral:misc_RNA from 1 species
UUUCCGUAGGUGAACCUGCGGAAGGAUCAUUAUUGAAUGAAAUACUUCUGGCUUUAUGCUGUUGUGCUGGCCCUUUGGGCAAUGUGCACACGGCUCUGGUCACUUGUUUCUUCUGUUCCACCUGUGCACUGCCUGUAGACACGCUGUGUCUAUGAUAUUUGUUAACACACAACAAUGUUAGUUGGCAUGUUAUAUAUAAUAAUAAAAUAUACAACUUUCAACAACGGAUCUCUUGGCUCUC